rnacentral:tRNA from 1 species
CGGGGCGUAGCGCAGCUCGGCUAGCGCGCGCGGAUCGGGACCGCGAGGUCCGGGGUUCAAAUCCCCGCGCCCCGA